rnacentral:rRNA from 1 species
CGCACGGGUGCGUAACGCGUGGGAAUCUGCCCUUUGGUUCGGAAUAACAGUUAGAAAUGACUGCUAAUACCGGAUGAUGUCGCCAAGAGAGAUUUUGGGGACCAAAGAUUUAUCGCCAAGGGAUGAGCCCGCGUAGGAUUAGGUAGUUGGUGGGGUAAAGGCCUACCAAGCCGACGAUCCUUAGCUGGUCUGAGAGGAUGAUCAGCCACACUGGGACUGAGACACGGCCCAG